AUGGGACAGAAGACGAGUGUGUCAGUGAAUGUUGGUGUGAUUCUUGAUGACCUUGAGUCUGUAAGUUCCAAAGUUAGGCUGAGCUGCAUCGAAAUGGCCAUCUCGGAUUUUUAUAGCUCUCGUGGUAACAACACUCGAACGAGGCUGGUUUUGAGCAUUAGGGACUCCAGAGGUCAUGUUGUCGAAGCCGCUGCUGCAGCUGUGGACCUCAUAAAGAAUGUUCAAGUGCAAGCAAUCUUGGGACCGAAAUCAUCCAUGCAAACCAAUUUUGUAAUUGAUCUUGGAGAAAAAGCACGAGUUCCCAUAAUCUCAUUUUCAGCAACAAGUCCUUCCCUCACUUCCUUUCCAAGUACAUACUUUUACCGAGCUGCACAAACCGAUUCCUCUCAAGUCAAAGCCGUAGCGGCAAUUAUCAAAGCUUUUGGUUGGAGAGAAGCUGUGCCGAUCUAUAUUGACAAUGAGUACGGCAACGGAGUAUUACCAUACUUGAUCGAUGCCUUGCAGACUGUUCAAGCUCGUGUCCCUUAUCGAAGUUCCAUUCCCACGUCUGCAACUGAUGAUCAAAUUGAAAAAGAGCUUUACAAGUUGAUGACAAUGCAAACUAGAGUCUUCAUUGUGCAUAUGCCUGGCCCUCUUGGCUCUCGGCUUUUUGCUAAGGUACAAAAGCUAGGAAUGAUGAAUGAAGGCUAUGUAUGGAUCAUGACAGAUGGGUUAAGCAAUCUUCUGAGUUCAACAAAUGCUUCAGUCAUUAGUUCAAUGCAAGGCGCGUUAGGGGUGAGGACUUAUGUGCCGAAAACAAAAGAACUGAUCACUUUUAGGGAUCAAUGGAAAAAGCAGUUCCACCAACAAAAUCCAAACAUCAUCGAUGUUGAACUAGAUGUUGUUGCACUUUGGGCAUAUGAUGCUGCUUAUGCAUUAGCCAUGGCAGUUGAAGAACUUGGGACUGCAAGCUUUGUCUACCAAACCACCAUUUCUUCCACAACCUCAUCAGCAGAUUUGGAGACUUUGGGGGUAUCUCAAAAUGGUUAUCAGCUUAGCCGAUCCUUGGCAAAGACUAAAUUUACAGGCCUUGCUGGAAAUUUCAGUUUUGAUAAUGGACAGUUACAAUCUUCCGUGUUUGAAAUAUUGAAUGUGAAUGGUGCUGGAGCAAGACCAAUUGGGUUUUGGACACCCGAGAAUGGACUUGUGAGAAACCUGAUCAUUAAUUCGACAGACACAUCUGUACCGAAUUUGGGGUUGGUCAUGUGGCCGGGAGAACAUGUCUCCAUCCCUAAGGGAUGGGAGAUCCCGACAAACGGAAAGAUACUAAAAGUUGGUGUUCCAGUGAAGAAUGGUUUCACAGAGUUUGUGAAGGUGGUACAUGAUAAUGGCACUAAUACUACAACAGAUGUUAUUACUGGAUUCUGCAUCGACGUCUUUAAUGCUGUAAUGGAAGGACUACCUUACGCUGUCCCUUAUGAGUUUAUUCCCUUUGCAUAUUCUAAUGGCAGCUCUGCCGGCACUUAUGAUGAUUUGGUCUAUCAUGUUUUUCUUGGGGAAUUUGAUGCUUUAGCAGCAGAUUCAACAAUUAGGGCAAACAGGUCACUAUAUGUGGACUUUACAAUGCCAUAUACUGAAUCCGGUGUAGUAAUGGUGGUGCCGAUGAAAGAUAAAAACCGGAUUGAAAAUGCAUGGAUUUUCUUGAAGCCUUUAACAUGGGACUUGUGGCUUGCUAGUUUUUGUUCCUUUGUCUUCGUUGGUUUUGUGGUUUGGCUUUUGGAACACCGAGUAAAUGAAGAUUUUCGCGGCCCUCGCACACAUCAAGUUGGCACAGGCCUUUGGUUCUCUUUCUCAACAAUGGUUUUUGCACAGCGGGAGAGAGUGGUUAGCAACUUGGCUAGGUUUGUGGUGAUAGUGUGGGUAUUUGUGGUGCUCAUAUUGACUCAAAGCUACACAGCGAGUCUGACUUCACUGCUAACGGGGUGCAAAAGCUUGAGCCAACUUAUACAAAUAUAAGCCAUGUAAUAAGCAAUCCUAAGGAGUAUGUGGGCUGCCUGGAUGGUUCUUUUGUCUGCGACCUAUUACGGCAUGGUUUCAAUGCUUCCAAUAUUAGGAUAUAUAAAUCUGCACAAGAAUGCAACCAACUUUUGAUAAACGGGAGUGAAAAUGGGGGUAUUGCUGCAGCCAUUGACGAAACACCAAAUAUGAAGCUCUUUCUUGCAAAUCAUUGCUCCAAUUACACCAUGAUAGGUCCCAUAAUGAAAACCGAUGGAUUUGCCUUUGUUUUUCCGAAAGGUUCCUCUCUCGUACCAGAUGUAUCAAGGUCGAUUCUGCAAUUCACUGAGGGUGACUUGAUGAAGCAGCUUGAAAUGAAAUGGUUCGGGAACGAAACAGCUUGUUCAGAUAGCAACCCCAUGGUGUCUGAUUCUAGCAGUCUUGGCCUUGAUAGGUUUUGGGGUCUUUUCCUUAUUGCUGGUGUUGCUUCGUUAUUAGCCCUCAUCAUAUUUGUAGCCUCAUUCAUACAGAGUUAUGGGCACAAAGGAAUUAGGGUUAUGCUCAAAGUGUUUGACCAUAAAGACCUCAGCUCCUAUACUUUUAAAAACAAGAAUUUGGGUGAUCAGGUUGAGCGGUCAGCAAGCUGCAGCAGCUACUCAAUAGGCUCCUCAAAUUUAAGCCAUUCAAACCGCACAGAGUUGGGGGAAGAAGCCAUAUUGCAUGCUUGUCAAGUUGAAUUUCCGGCUACUGAGCUUCAUGUUCCGAACUCAGAGAUGCCAACAGGUCCUCGAUCGCGAGGUGACAUACAGAACAGUUAA